rnacentral:tRNA from 2 species
AGGUAGGGUGGCCGAGUAGGCGGCGAGUUGUAGCCUCGUGCACGGGUGCCCCCCAACCA